rnacentral:rRNA from 1 species
UACGGAGGGGGCGAGCGUUAUUCGGAAUUAUUGGGCGUAAAGAGCUCGUAGGCGGUCUGUCGCGUCGGCUGUGAAAUCCCGAGGCUCAACCUCGGGUCUGCAGUCGAUACGGGCAAACUAGAGUAUUGCAGGGGAGACUGGAAUUCCUGGUGUAGCGGUGAAAUGCGCAGAUAUCAGGAGGAACACCGGUGGCGAAGGCGGGUCUCUGGGCAAUAACUGACGCUGAGGAGCGAAAGCGUGGGGAGCGAACAGG